GGGCAACAGCAACAGUUUGGGCAAACGUGGCCGCUAGAAGACGAUCUAGCUACAGCCGUCUGUGCUAAUUGUGGUCGGCUCAUUGUCCUAUGAUAAAUAAGGGUAGAUCCACGUAUCGUAAGGGUGCGAGAGCGGUGCGGCAAGCAGAGUAAUGGCCAAUUCGCUUGUUUUCCGGGCGAGCUGUGGUGAAGGGCAAAUCACGGCUAGGCCCCUGGAUGCCCAGAAACAACGACUGCAACGAAGGCAGCAAAAAACGCAAAAAGCCACCAAUCGUCACAUUCUCCUGCAGGCGGGAGGGUUUUCUCCAGUGCUUCACAAAGUAGCGAAUAAAAAACCGAACGAACCCCUAA